AGAGAUCUGGAGGAAUACCGGUGGCGAAGGCGGCCCCCUGGACGAAGACUGACGCUCAGGUGCGAAAGCGUGGGGAGCAAACAGGAUUAGAUACCCUGGUAGUCCACGCCGUAAACGAUGUCGACUUGGAGGUUGUGCCCUUGAGGCGUGGCUUCCGGAGCUAACGCGUUAAGUCGACCGCCUGGGGAGUACGGCCGCAAGGUUAAAACUCAAAUGAAUUGACGGGGGCCCGCACAAGCGGUGGAGCAUGUGGUUUAAUUCGAUGCAACGCGAAGAACCUUACCUGGUCUUGACAUCCACGGAAGUUUUCAGAGAUGAGAAUGUGCCUUCGGGAACCGUGAGACAGGUGCUGCAUGGCUGUCGUCAGCUCGUGUUGUGAAAUGUUGGGUUAAGUCCCGCAACGAGCGCAACCCUUAUCCUUUGUUGCCAGCGGUCCGGCCGGGAACUCAAAGGAGACUGCCAGUGAUAAACUGGAGGAAGGUGGGGAUGACGUCAAGUCAUCAUGGCCCUUACGACCAGGGCUACACACGUGCUACAAUGGCGCAUACAAAGAGAAGCGACCUCGCGAGAGCAAGCGGACCUCAUAAAGUGCGUCGUAGUCCGGAUUGGAGUCUGCAACUCGACUCCAUGAAGUCGGAAUCGCUAGUAAUCGUGGAUCAGAAUGCCACGGUGAAUACGUUCCCGGGCCUUGUACACACCGCCCGUCACACCAUGGGAGUGGGUUGCAAAAGAAGUAGGUAGCUUAACCUUCGGGAGGGCGCUUACCACUUUGUGAUUCAUGACUGGGGUGAAGUCGUAACAAGGUAACCGUAGGGGAACCUGCGGUUGGAUCACCUCCUUACCUUAAAGAAGC
rnacentral:rRNA from 2 species